rnacentral:rRNA from 1 species
UACUAGAGUAGCACUCGCAUAUCAAUAAGCGGAGGAAAAGAAACUAACAAGGAUUCCCCUAGUAACGGCGAGUGAAGCGGGAAGAGCUCAAAUUUGAAAUCUUAAAGGGUUUCCCUUUACGAAUUGUAGCUUAAAGAAGUGUUUUCUGUUGAGGUUUUGGUAAAAGUUCUUUGGAAUAGGACAUCAUAGAGGGUGAGAAUCCCGUAUUUGACCUUUACUUUCAACUUUGUGAUACACUUUCAAAGAGUCGGAUUGUUUGGGAAUGCAGUCCAAAAUGGGUGGUAAAUUUCAUCUAAAGCUAAAUAUUGGCGAGAGACCGAUAGCGAACAAGUACCGUGAGGGAAAGAUGAAAAGAACUUUGAAAAGAGAGUUAAACAGUACGUGAAAUUGUCAAAAGGGAAGCGUUUGACACCAGUGUUGUUUUUCUGAAAAUCAGUUAAAGAACUGUUUAUGCUAAGUUGUUUAGACUUUAUCAGCUAUCUGCUUAGUUUUGAGCUUUCCUUUAAUGCACUUUUCAGUUAACAAGUCAACAUCAAUUUCUUUUGCUGUAAAAAAGCUUGAGGAAGGUGGCUUCAGAUUCGUCUUAAGUGUUUAUAGCCUCUUGCCUAUGCAGUCGGAGAGAUUGAGGUCUGCAGCGUAGAUCCUUCGGGGCUAAAUGCAUUUGUGCUAAGUUAUAGCAUUUUAUAGACAACUUGUUGACUAUGAUUUGUCUUGUAGCUUACUCGCUUAUGUUAUUUUACCUACGCUUAGGAUGUUGAACUACUGAGACAUAGA